GUGUUUGCGGGCGUGGCAUCAUCAAGAUUCACAACCCAUCAAUCCGAACCACUGAUUUGGAAUGCAUGCAUGAGAAUCUUGAUGAUGCUGCAUCCGCCAACAA
rfam:Zea mays cultivar B73 chromosome 7, whole genome shotgun sequence.